AACUUUGUCCCAAAACUCUGGUUUUGGCUCUGGAUACGUCACGCCCACUGGUACUGCGGAACACCCACUACUCACCCUCAAACUGCCCCCUUUCUGUGAGGGAAUUUCCCUUUGGACAUGCCCUUUGGCCCUGGCCCAGCCACAGCUGUGACGAGUCCCUCAGGGCCGGAUGGGUGGGCCCACCUCACAGGCUUGGGGACAGGGAUGGAAAAUGGUGGUUCCAGGCAGUCCCGCUGCCAGCCCGCCCCGCCCCGCACCCUCCGAGAACCGCCCAGCCGAGGAUGCCCUGGUUUCCCGCGUUUUCUCGCUCUGCGGGAUCCGUUCAGCCUUAGCUCUGGACGCUGCAGAGAUCUCUCGUCUAGGACCGAGGUUGUCGAGCGGCCAGAAGCCUUCUUCCAUCUCUGAGACUCAUGACGCUUCUCCCUGCGGUCCGUGGCCAGGCUUGGCAAGGUCCUGGGGCCCAGAUCGACCCACACGCUCCGGUUCCCCGCAGGUGCCAUCAGAACCAGCCACUAAUGAAUGCCAUGACUGGCCUACUGACCCUACUUUGACCUUCUAAUAAACCAUUCUCUGCUCUCUACGUGAAAUUUUAAAUAUGAGUCAGGGCCCAUGAGCUGGCUCAGUCAGUAAAGGUGCUUGCUGCCAAGCCUGACAGCUAAGUUCUGUCCCCAGGCACACACGGUGGGAGGAAUAAACCAAGCCGCAGGCUGUCCUGUAGCCUGCACACUGCACACACAAGCUGUCCUGUAUCCUCCACGCGUGCAUACACAAGCUGUCCUGUAUCUUGCACACUGCACACACAAGCUGUCCUGUAUCCU